rnacentral:tRNA from 1 species
GCCGGGUUAGCUCAGUUGGUAGAGCAACGGUUUUGUAAACCGUGGGUCGGGGGUUCGAGUCCCUCACCCGGCACCA